CAAAUGCCACUUUGUCCUGGCCCUCACCUCAAACGGCUUUCAGCACCCUAAAGGAACUGACCGAACCAAACCACGGCACACUCCUGGCCACUCCUUUCCAGCACUGUGCCAGACAAUAGUCCACGCUCUACAGGACAGGUAACAUCACCAUAACCCACACCCUACCAUGACCUCAUAGCAAGCAGCCAGGUGACACGCUCGGGCCAGGACAACAGUGACAGCUCCAUCAGGAUGACGGGACAUGGACAGCCUCGGUGAGACGUUAGAGACUCUUGGGCAGAGAGGCAGGGGCUGCCCGUGGUCACAGGGGGAUGCUGCUCCGUUUGGUGCUUCUUCUCUUUCAGUCAGAAACAUACAGCGAUGGGACAAGACCAUGGCACGCUCCUGGCCUCUCUGCCCUUGACCACUCAGCUGGAAGGAAGAGCUGCCAACGCUCUACAGGACAGCUGGACUCACUGACAGUGAGGGAACGAUGCCAUGGCACACUCCUGGCCUCUCUCCCCUUGAGAAGUCAGCUGGAAAAGGUGUCAACGCUCUCCAGGACAGGUAAGAUAGUACCAACCCACACCCCUCCACGGUCUCAUAGCAAGCAGGACAGUGACAUGCUCGGGCCAGGACGGCAGUGACCGCUCCAUCAGGACGACGGGACACGGAUAGCCUCGGUGAGAUGCUAGAGACUCUUGGGCAGAGAGGCAGGGGCCGCCCGUGGUCACAGGGGGAUGCUGCUCCGUUUGGUGCUUCUUCUCUUUCGGCCAGAAUCACACAGCGAUGGGACCAGGCCACGGCACAAUCCUGGCCUCACUGCUCUUGACCACUCAGCUGGAAGGAAGAGCUGCCAAUGCUCUACAGGACAGGUAAGAUCACCCCAACCCACACCCACCACGGUUCACAGCAAGCAGCCAGGUGACACGAUCGGACCAGGACGACAGUGACCACUCCAUCAGGACGACGGGACACGGACAGCCUCGGUGAGACGUUAGAGACUCUUGGGCAGAGAGGCAGGGGCUGCCCGUGGUCACAGGGGGAUGCUGCUCCGUUUGGUGCUUCUUCUCUUUCAGCCAGAAUCACACAGCGAUGGGACCAGGCCACGGCACAAUCCUGGCCUCACUGCUCUUGACCACUCAGCUGGAAGGAAGAGCUGCCAACGCUCUACAGGACAGGUAAGAUCGCCCCAACCCACACCCACCACGGUUCACAGCAAGCAGCCAGGUGACACGAUCGGACCAGGACGACAGUGACCACUCCAUCAGGACGACGGGACACGGACAGCCUCGGUGAGACGUUAGAGACUCUUGGGCAGAGAGGCAGGGGCUGCCCGUGGUCACAGGGGGAUGCUGCUCCGUUUGGUGCUUCUUCUCUUUCAGUCAGAAACAUACAGCGAUGGGACAAGACCUUGGCACGCUCCUGGCCUCUCUGCCCUUGAGAAUUCAGCUGGAAGGAAGAGCUGCCAACGCUCUACAGGAUAACUGGACUCACUGACAGUGAGGGAACGAUGCCAUGGCACACUCCUGGCCUCUCUCCCCUUGAGAAGUCAGCUGGAAAAGGUGUCAACGCUCUCCAGGACAGGUAAGAUAGUACCAACCCACACCCCUCCACGGUCUCAUAGCAAGCAGGACAGUGACAUGCUCGGGCCAGGACGGCAGUGACCGCUCCAUCAGGACGACGGGACACGGAUAGCCUCGGUGAGAUGCUAGAGACUCUUGGGCAGAGAGGCAGGGGCCGCCCGUGGUCACAGGGGGAUGCUGCUCCGUUUGGUGCUUCUUCUCUUUCAGCCAGAAUCACACAGCGAUGGGACCAGGCCACGGCACAAUCCUGGCCUCACUGCUCUUGACCACUCAGCUGGAAGGAAGAGCUGCCAACGCUCUACAGGACAGGUAAGAUCGCCCCAACCCACACCCACCACGGUUCACAGCAAGCAGCCAGGUGACACGAUCGGACCAGGACGACAGUGACCACUCCAUCAGGACGACGGGACACGGACAGCCUCGGUGAGACGUUAGAGACUCUUGGGCAGAGAGGCAGGGGCUGCCCGUGGUCACAGGGGGAUGCUGCUCCGUUUGGUGCUUCUUCUCUUUCAGUCAGAAACAUACAGCGAUGGGACAAGACCUUGGCACGCUCCUGGCCUCUCUGCCCUUGAGAAUUCAGCUGGAAGGAAGAGCUGCCAACGCUCUACAGGAUAACUGGACUCACUGACAGUGAGGGAACGAUGCCAUGGCACACUCCUGGCCUCUCUCCCCUUGAGAAGUCAGCUGGAAAAGGUGUCAACGCUCUCCAGGACAGGUAAGAUAGUACCAACCCACACCCCUCCACGGUCUCAUAGCAAGCAGGACAGUGACAUGCUCGGGCCAGGACGGCAGUGACCGCUCCAUCAGGACGACGGGACACGGAUAGCCUCGGUGAGAUGCUAGAGACUCUUGGGCAGAGAGGCAGGGGCCGCCCGUGGUCACAGGGGGAUGCUGCUCCGUUUGGUGCUUCUUCUCUUUCAGUCAGAAACAUACAGCGAUGGGACAAGACCAUGGCACGCUCCUGGCCUCUCUGCCCUUGAGAAUUCAGCUGGAAGGAAGAGCUGCCAACGCUCUACAGGACAGAUAAGCGAUCCCUAACCCAUACCCCACCACAGUCUCACAGCAUGCCAGAUGACAUGGUUGGGCUAUGAGGGGCAUUUCCUGGCCCUCAGGGAGACGUGAGAUGGACAGCCUUGGAGUGAGGCUGGGAGAGCCUUGCUCAGGGAGGAAGGGAUGGCUUUCAGUGUUGGCAGGGGGUGGCUGCUCUGUUUGUCACCUCCUCUA